UACGAAGGGGGGCUAGCGUUGCUCGGAAUCACUGGGCGUAAAGGGUGCGUAGGCGGGUCUUUUAAGUCAGGGGUGAAAUCCUGGAGCUCAACUCCAGAACUGCCUUUGAUACUGAAGAUCUUGAGUUCGGGAGAGGUGAGUGGAACUGCGAGUGUAGAGGUGAAAUUCGUAGAUAUUCGCAAGAACACCAGUGGCGAAGGCGGCUCACUGGCCCGGUACUGACGCUGGAGGUGCGAAAGCGUGGGGAGCAAACAGG
rnacentral:rRNA from 1 species